GACGAACGCUGGCGGCGUGCUUAACACAUGCAAGUCGAACGGAAAGGCCCUGCUUUUGUGGUGUGCUCGAUUGGCGAACGCGUGUGUAACACGUGUGUAACCUGCCCUUGACUUUGGGAUAACUUCAGGAAACUGGGGCUAAUACCGGAUAUGAGCUCCUGCUGCAUGGUGGGGGUUGGAAAGUUUCGGCGGUGGGGGAUGGACUCGCGGCUUAUCCGCUUGUUGGUGGGGUAGUGGCUUACCAAGGCUUUGACGGGUAGCCGGCCUGAGAGGGUGACCGGCGACAUUGGGACUGAGAGACGGCCCAGACUCCUACGGGAGGCAGCAGGGGGAAGUAUGGCACAAUGGGCGGAAGCGUGAUGCAGCAGCGCCGCGUGCGGGAUAACGGCCUUCGGGUUGUAAACCGCUUUCGCCUGUGACGAGGCGUGAGUGACGGUAAUGGGUAAAGAAGCACCGGCUAACUACGUG
rnacentral:rRNA from 1 species